AAGAAACAGAAAGAUCAUGAUAGCUGGAAGAACAUUGACAGGGGCACGAGAGACAGAAAGAAGGAAAGGGAAUUCGACAUAGAAGCCGAGAGACCUGAUAAACGCAGUAGGUAUCAUGAAAAAGAAUCAGAGGAAGGGGGUAUUGAUGAUGAAGGGAGUACAGAAAGGGAAAUAGAGGCUUUUAACAGUGGUAUCCAGCAGCGAAAGAGGAUGCUUCGGCCGAGGGGCAGCCCUCAAAUGGGAAAUCGUGAACCUCGUUUUAGGUCCCGCAGCCAAGAUAUUGAAGGGUAUGACUUUCCAUUUGUUGAAUGAAGAAUUAGUUUUUAAGGGGUUUAGUUAUUAUGAUUAGAUCGUUUCAUGAUUUCUUCAUGCGCUUUUAUAUUUAUUUGGGUUUAUGCAUUUACUAUCUUGCCAAUUAGGCCCAUAUUGUUUCCAUUUUUUCGUAUCUAAGUAGCUGUUAGUGAUAUGUAAGUGUACUUUAAAUUUGAAGUUUUGCUUUGUCCAAAAUAAGUUAUGCUCGGUUAUAGCAAAAGUAUGUUGAAACUCUUUCAGAUUUUAUUGGUUUAAGCAUAAUCUUGGAGUCAUUUUUUGUUUUUUGUGUUUCAUGAUUGUGAAACCAUGAUCAUGUGCACUUCUUUUCAUAUUUUUGACAUGUCCAUUUCAUUGCAAAAUGCGAAGGGGGAACAUAGCAUAUAAGAUGUACAUAAAACAGAUGAUAUCUAUCAACCUAUGAUUUUAAUAUAAAUUUUCCGUAUGCUGUUCAAAGUUAAAAAUUAGGAACUUUUAUCUCGUAUCCAAUUUCUUUCCAAAAAUCUCAAAAAAUUGUGAAUGGUCGCUUAGCUCAAUUCUGUACUUCAUAUUUCUUUGAUCUUUGACUGGUGAUGUUUGAGUCUUAUGAUAGGGAUUCCAAGAAUUCAUGUGUCAAAUGUACUAUAUUUCAUUGGUACACUGGUAAAGAUGUCAUCAAGCAGUAAAUAGGGCAUGAAUUGCUGUUUUGUUUAUACACCAUAACCUUCCAUAAAAAUCUAAGAUCUCAUGCACAUGGGAGUUUAUCUCCAUUAGAAUUCCUAUUUUGAUGUCAGAAUAUGGUAACUUGACAAGUUUCUCUAGUGUCUAUGAGGAAGUUUUGGACCGUUGGCCCGAAUGACUGCAGUAUCUAUCCCUUUACAUUUUUUAUACUAUAUGCAGUUAAAACAUUAUAAAAUGUAUUUGUUACUUUUUGUUAUGCACAUUACAAGAUACACUUUUGAAACCAGUGCUGCUUCUAAUUCAUUGCCUCUGUUUCACAUGGUUUUACCAUAGGAAAAGUGACUUUUACUUUUUUUCUUUUUCUUUUUCUUUUUUUUUUUUUUGGUGGGAUUCAAACUUGAGACCUUUUGCCUUAGCCUUAGUCCUUUUACCAUUGAACAAAGACCUCAGAUACUCAUUUUUGAGGCGCCCAAAGACAAUGUCUUUUGGAAAUUAAACUACACCAUACUAAAUGCAAUCGUUAAAUAUUUAGAGAUAUAAGCUAAGGAGUUGAGAUGAUAUGAACUUACCUUAAUUUUUGAAGUAAAACUUGCGCUAACUCAGUAUUUCCUUAUUCAGAUACUACACAUAGUACUUCACAUAAGCAUAGAUUUGAUUCCUAGAGUUGAGGUGUUUCAAUGUUUCAUGCUAUGAAAUUGGAUGUAGUCAUAAUGUUUUCUCUCUAGGAGUUUCGCUUGAACUUUCUUGGCACUCUCAAAAGCUUGAAGAAAGUGUAGAAGUGGAAAAUAAUAGAACGAAAAUCAUUAUAAAAGCACUAAAAUUAUGAUGUCCAUUACUGUUUGCCAUCAAUAUAGUAACGGGCACAUUAUGAUUUGGUAACAAAAUUAAAUGUCUCGGGAAAAAGUUGCAGUUUGCAUUAAAUGAGUAGGGUCCUUUUAUUUCCCUCAUUGAAUAAGGACGCGUAUCAUUAUCUCAGAAAGAGGCUCCUUAAGACAGCUGCUUGCAGAUUGAGAGUUCUAGUCUGAAUCGCUCAAAAGGGCUUAGGGUCUUUUGCAUAUUGCGACUGCAACUCCCUGUUUCUCUGAGCAACAUUAUGCACGAGCAAGUUUAUAUUCUCCGUCCCCAUGGAAUGUUUAAAUAGUUGUGAUUUUUGGUGUGUAGUACUCAUGCUCUUCAUGAUUCUUCAUUUUGCUCUUUAAAAUGUCAGAAAAUUGGAGCUGCUCUCCGACCCGACCAUUCAAUUCUAUUGAAUGGAGUCAGGGUCGUUCCUUAAGGCAGCCAAAGCGAGCCCCUUUAUUUUGAAUUCGUUAAUUCAGAAUAUCUAUGUAUCGUAAGUGACCAUAGAAACUUCUAGGGACUCCCAGUCUAUGGAAGAUUGGGGGUUAGAACAAAAGUUAAAGGAACAGAAGAGCCAUACCCUCUUUCUUUCGAUUACUUUCAGGGUACUCACAUAGCCAAUUUUCCAUUUUUGAUAGAAGGUGCUGCCUUUGGUACUACUCUUAUCUGAUGUACAAUAGAAACAUUUGAGUCUUCAAUUUGGACUUUUUUGCCAUUUUUUUCAUCUGUGAAUUGUUAAUAAGGAGGGGUGGGGGAGAAGGGUUGCAUUAGUAAGUCUGUUUAUAAAUUACAGUGAUCUGCCUUCAAACGUUGUAGUUUCUCAUACUUAUCAACUAAUUCUUAGAUUAGUUAAAUGACUUUUACUUUUGCUUCUUGAGUUCAAGCAUAUCUAGGAGUUGCUAAUCCGAAUGAAGAAAAUGUUCAAUGUGAAAGUAGCUUUGUUUUUCCUUUUUUCCCCCCUACUAUUUUUACUUUUCUUGUUUUCAUCGAAGUAUAGAUAUCACAGUUUAUAAAAAUGAAAGGGAAUGAUAAUUGGCGAUUGGUAAUAUGUGAUUUAUCUUAUUAGUAUGUGCGAAUAAUUUUGAGUUUUCCCUUUUCCCGGAUAGUAGUGUCAUUUAACCAUUCACUGGAGAAAGAAUGGUUAUUACAUUUAUGUGCCACAUGUCCAUCCCGAAUGGCAAAACAUGGACAAGUCCUUGUGUACUUUUUGCCACUUCACGUUCUCUUAAGUUGUAGCUUUCCUUUCUUUCUUCUUACAUAAGAUUCAUUUAUUGUUGUUAUAAUCUGGAUAAAUCUGCAUAUCUUUUGAAUUACGCCAUGAUAUUUUAUUAACUAAUAAGAGCAUUUAAUAUAUUCUGAUUCUUGAGUAGUCCAUAUUAAUUGCUAUAUUAUGUUAUUUUGAUGCUGGGAAAAAUAAUGGCCUGCUACAUUUUUGGAUAUUGUUCUUCAUCACUUCAGUGCAAAGUUGGGUAAUAUGAUUUAUUAGGAGAACUUUCCUUGAUUGGGGUUGAAAUGAUGGGCUUAACCAUUUUAUGUUUCAAUUUUAUGCAGGUCACAAGGUAAGCUGUCAAUUCAUGUCCAGCCGGAACUCUUAUUUGGUUAUUAUUAGACAGGAAGUUCUUUCUCUUCACUUGUUUGGUAUUAGCUGAAUUUACAAUUACUGAACAUUAUUAUUAAAUUAUACACAAUAUUCAUUGGCUGUGACGUAAAUCUUAUGUUUGUGAUACUGUAUGAAUCAUUGUUCUUUAUCAAGGACGUGAUAUUUGACGAAGUCUUCAUUUUCACAAUAUUAUUUUGAAAUUAGAAUAGGAACUUUCUCAAAUGAGAUAAUUGUAAUCUGGAAGAAUGCUGGAUCCAGAGGUUCUGUAUGAAAAUGUUUGUUAAGAUGUAGCUCUCUAAUGCAUAUAAUUCACCUGCCUUUUAAUUUUGUGCAACUAACUAUAUGGUUCCUGUUAAUGUUAUUGGCCUUGCAAAAUGCUUAUUGCUGCCUUCUGAAUUUGUUGUGUGGAACAUCCUUUUCAGUUUGCUUUGCCCUUGGGACUUGUAAUUGAUAUUUCAUUCUACAUGGACAAAUAGUCUUACAAAGUGCUGCUUGUUGCCUUCUAUCAGCUGUCUGGAAUAUGAUUUUUCAGUUUGCUUUGCUCUUGGGACGUGUAAUUGUUAUUUCAUUCUACAUUUUCAACUGGUCUUGCAAAAUGCUGCUUGUUGUCUUCCGGUUCAUGCCUUUUCAGCUUGCUUUGCCCUAGGGUUAUGUAUUUGUGUUAUUUCAUUGUACGUUAUUUCAUUUAUUUGUGUUAUUUCAUUGUACGUUUACUUUUUUCUUCGGACUUUAUAUUUAUUAGUUUUAAUUGACUUGAUUAUAUGUUUUGACUUUGUGAAUGAUUACUUCUUGUGGGGAUAGAAGUCUUUUCACUCACAUGGUUCGUUUCCAAUCUAACCACUACUUUAUAUGGAAUUUCUCCGUGCCUAAUGUCCACAUUUCAACAUUGCUGCCUCUUCUUGACAAGAACUUUGAUUUCAUGUGCUGCUGUUUAAGCUGUGUAAAAGCUCUUCAUGGAUGCUGUGUCCCUUCUUUUAGUUGCAUUUGUUUUUUUCUUUGGACUUGUGUCUAGAUUAAAUCAUUCAUGUUAUCACAAUCUUAAUUUCUGUGCCAAAAAGUAUAUAAGAAAGUUUAUUAUACUAUGAUGAGUACACUUUUGGGUAAAAAUUUUAGUUUGGUUGGUUUAAACCCAUCAUGUGAAAAUAUAUGAUGUCCUACUUUUGUCAGCAAAAGUUGUUUGCAGGUUAUAAAACAUUUUAAACUGCUAUUUUCUAAUUCCUUAUUUUUUAGAUUCAGCAUGAUGUUAGCAUUCAUGUAAUAUGAAAUUUGAAUAUCAACAAUUGCUAGUACUUUGUUGUAACUUAUGUCGACAAAAGAAAAGUUGAAAUUAACUGUUAAUACCGUGUUCAAAAAAUUCACUGAAGCUGCUGACUCCAUAUGUUUUUAGUUUCACAAGUAUUUAAGAAGCUGUCUAAGCAAACCUGUUAGCUUAUUUUGUACCCUUUUCUGUUAAAUGCUCCUUUUGCCUUGUUAUCUCUUGGGGGACUUCUUGAAUUGAUUGCUUGUCUGUCUAGCGGAAUGGACCUGAAAAGUUGAUAGCUCCAGUUAUUGUGUCUUUUCCUAUAGAAUCAAACUAACCUACUUAUUCCAAAGUUAUUGAAUUUCCAGGUUUUGAUUUAGCAUAGAAGGGUAAAAUUUUAAUGAGGGGAGUUUGCGUUGUGUAAUAUAGUUUCUGACAUCCCACCCUUUGGACAAGAAAGAGCAAAUGUCCAAUGGGAUUAAAUUUGGUGGCAUAUCGAGUCCCAAAUGUUUAUGAAGUUAUAAUUUAUUUGAUGACUAUUUAUCAAUUUCUAGUUGACAUUUUUGGGACGUAUGGUCUCAAGUAAGCAUCAGCAUUUACUUUAUAUGGCUGUGAUAAGAAUCUUAAUAGCUUUCCACUCUGGAAUAUGUGCUUUAAGGCCAUAUAUAAAUCUCAUCAUAUUGAUUGCCAUAAUUCUGAGAACGUAUAUUUAAAUAUUUGAUUUUCUUCAAGAAAAUAAUUAGAAAAACACGCAUAUAUCCUAAAACUGGUCUUUUAAGCUAAAUCAAAAAUCAUUCUCAUGAUAUAGAUAGAGCUACUGGUUUUCACAAAUGAUUUAGUUACUAAUUGGGAAAUCUUCAUCAUAAUAACGUUUUUGAUGAAGCUGUGAUGUUACUAUACAGGUAAGGCUGAUAUGUCUUGUGUCGUUUACAAAAUUGGUGGAUGCAUGCAAGAACUGUUGAAGUUGUGGAAGGAAUUUCAAUCCUCACAAGCUGAUGGAACAUGUGAAAUCUCUCAAAAUGCUCCUACCCUAGAAAUCCGGAUACCAG
rnacentral:lncRNA from 1 species